rnacentral:rRNA from 1 species
ACUUAGUGGCGGACGGGUGAGUAACGCGUGGGUAACCUGCCUCACACAGGGGGAUAACAGUUGGAAACGACCGCUAAUACCGCAUAACCCGCUAGGGCCGCAUGGCCCGGACGGAAAAGAUUUAUCGGUGUGAGAUGGACCCGCGUUGGAUUAGCUAGUUGGCAGGGUAACGGCCUACCAAGGCGACGAUCCAUAGCCGGCCUGAGAGGGUGAACGGCCACAUUGGGACUGAGACAUGGCCCAA